AGGAGCUUUUAUUUAAAAUUACUUCAUAUUAUGCUCAUAUUCAUUUUCAUAGGAAAAUAGCUUUGAUACUUUAUUCUUAACAGCAUUAUCCUUAAAAAGAAUCAGUAAACACUGUAUCACCAAGGCACUUGUAUCCCAGACAAUGGCUGUUGAUUGGGGAGGUGUAAUCUCAAACAACACUUUCAACAUAACACUUAAAACACUUAAAAAAAAAAUAAAAAAAAAUUUAAUUAAAUAAAUCAGCAUAAACAUUUUAGUACCAUGAACUACAAUCGAGUCAACUGUGGCUUGUUAAACGUGAACAUUCGCAUAGUAAGAGAGGCGAGUCGUGAGUUGAAGGUGAAUGUAGUGAAAUGUGGAACAAUAAUACAGUUUCUCUUCUUCAUGAUAGUGCUCAGUCUGUGGAUUUGGUCCUGUUGAAUGAAGGUGAUUUCUUCUAGGACAUUUGAUACCACACAAUCCGUAUUUGUGAUGGUUUCACAGCUCUGCUGAUGGUCUGAGGUCAUACUGAUAGGAGGAGCCUGAGUGACAGUAAUGCUGCAUAACCAGUAGAUGGCAGUGUUGGAUGCACAGUAGUGACAAUCUAAGCAGGAUUUCCUCAGCCUGAUGCCUUUCUCUGUAUGAUUUCUAUCCCUCUAUUUUACCAGAACAUACACUUACUUUGUUUUCCUCAUGUCACUUUUGCAGUGUUGCCUGUUCCCAACUAAUGAGAGUCCAUACUUCAAACUAGGAGUUAAUAAUAUUGAUCCAACUGGUCCUUAAAUUAUACUGUUGUGCAAUGGAAUAGUCCAUCCUUAUGUAAAUGAAAACACAUACGCUCCCAAAGAAUCCCAGCAUUAAGACUUGAGGUGAGAUAAUUCACAUGAUUGAAUCUGUCUGAAUUAAAUGUUGAAUGACUCAAUUACUAGCUUUUUAUGUCUGUACCAAUAUUAAUCAAAGCAUGCGUACGUCCACCAUGAACUUAAUAUAGUGCUUUGAAUCUAACAGUCAAAAUAUAGAACUUAAAAUAAAACAAAAAAAAUAAGAGAGAACAAAAGGCAUUUUCUCUGAACAUGUGCACUGUGCUUAAGUGUCGUCAAUCAUUUCCCACUGCAAAAUAAAUAAUACCAGUUUCAGAAAA